rnacentral:rRNA from 1 species
ACGGGAGGCAGCAGUAGGGAAUAUUGCACAAUGGGGGAAACCCUGAUGCAGCAACGCCGCGUGAGUGAUGAAGUAUUUCGGUAUGUAAAACUCUAUCAGCAGGGAAGAAAAUGACGGUACCUGACUAAGAAGCACCGGCUAAAUACGUGCCAGCAGCCGCGGUAAUACGUAUGGUGCAAGCGUUAUCCGGAUUUACUGGGUGUAAAGGGAGCGUAGACGGCAAAGCAAGUCUGAAGUGAAAUCCCGGGGCUCAACCCCGGAACUGCUUUGGAAACUGUUUAGCUAGAGUGCAGGAGAGGUAAGCGGAAUUCCUAGUGUAGCGGUGAAAUGCGUAGAUAUUAGGAGGAACACCAGUGGCGUAGGCGGCUUACUGGACUGUAACUGACGUUGAGGCUCGAAAGCGUGGGGAGCAAACAGGAUUAGAUACCCUGGUA